UAGGGAAUCUUCCACAAUGGACGCAAGUCUGAUGGAGCAACGCCGCGUGAGUGAAGAAGGUUUUCGGAUCGUAAAGCUCUGUUGUUGGUGAAGAAGGAUAGAGGCAGUAACUGGUCUUUAUUUGACGGUAAUCAACCAGAAAGUCACGGCUAACUACGUGCCAGCAGCCGCGGUAAUACGUAGGUGGCAAGCGCUGUCCGGAUUUAUUGGGCGUAAAGCGAGCGCAGGCGGAAUGAUAAGUCUGAUGUGAAAGCCCACGGCUCAACCGUGGAACUGCAUCGGAAACUGUCAUUCUUGAGUGCAGAAGAGGAGAGUGGAACUCCAUGUGUAGCGGUGGAAUGCGUAGAUAUAUGGAAGAACACCAGUGGCGAAGGCGGCUCUCUGGUCUGCAACUG
rnacentral:rRNA from 1 species